rnacentral:miRNA from 1 species
UUGUUUUUUUCUCUCGCCCCGCCUG